CACGCUGUAAACGUUGGGCACUAGGUGUGGGGAUUGUAAUGGUUUCUGCGCCGUAGCUAACGCAUUAAGUGCCCCGCCUGGGGAGUACGGCCGCAAGGCUAAAACUCAAAGGAAUUGACGGGGGCCCGCACAAGCGGCGGAGCAUGCGGAUUAAUUCGAGGCAACGCGAAGAACCUUACCAAGGCUUGACAUAUUAGAGAAGACCGUAGAAGUACGGGGAUCUUUGGAUACUCUUUUACAGGUGG
rnacentral:rRNA from 1 species